rnacentral:rRNA from 1 species
GACGAACGCUGGCGGCGCGCCUAAUACAUGCAAGUCGAGGGAGAACCGAACCUUCGGGUUCGGGGAGACCGGCGAACGGGUGAGUAACACGUGAGGAACCUGCCCUGUAGACCGGAAUAACCACGGGAAACUGUGGCUAAUGCCGGAUGCUCUCGAACGCCCGCAUGGGAGUACGAGAAAAUGGUCCGCCGCUACAGGAUGGCCUCGCGGCCUAUCAGCUAGUUGGUAAGGUAAUGGCUUACCAAGGCUACGAUCUGUAACCGGUCUAAGAGGACGGUCGGUCACACUGACACUGAAUAACGGGUCAGACUCCUACGGGAGGCAGCAGUCGGGAAGUUUUGGGCAAUGGGCGAAAGCCUGACCCAGCAACGCCGCGUGAAGGAUGAAG